CUCAGACACAUUACUGGGAGUAUUAUUGCUGUGGAGCUCUGUUAUACACUCAGACACAUUACUGGGAGUAUUAUUGCCGUGGAGCGCUGUUAUACACUCAGACACACCAAUAAUAUGGAGCUCCUAACAAAGAGGGACUGAGGGAUUUGUGCCCAAAAUAUGGACACCCCCUCCUAAAUAGGAACACUUUUAAGGUAUGCCAUGUAGAAGAAUAUGCAGGUUGCUUCUGGGAAACUAAUUUAAUACAAUUACAAAUAUAAAUUUUUUCCUUUUUUUUUUAAAUAUCUUUUUUAUUUUGCUAUGCGAUAAUUGUAUUUUUUGUAUUUGUGGGGAGUAGGAUGGAGGCUGGAAGCAGUUUCUACCAGUCUUAUGUAUACUCCAACUCCUGGUGCAAGCUCUAUAUUCAGGUGGAAGUACAAUCACCUACAGGUUCCAGAGAAGUAAAUUAGAUUUUAUCUGCUGGUAGAGUUUCUCUAAGUAAUGAACACGGUCAGUAAUCAAAGACCCCCCCCCUCAGGUAUUCUUGUAGCUAUGUAUUCACUACACAUCAGGUACCGUGUGUCCCUUGUCCAAGCUGGGAUCCAUAAUGGGAGCCCAUACACGUCUCCUAUUGGCUGCAAUUAAACAUUCUAAUCUACAAUGCAGACAUGUAGCUAGUGAUUCUCUCAGCAUUUAGCUUGGUAUACAAGUGGUUAACGCAUUUAACGAGACGCCGUAUGUCUGAGAUUUAGAGAUCAUUACCAACUGCCACUCAAAUCUCUGAAAUACACACAGAUAUAAUUCUAACACAAAACACAAAAUACGUUUUUUUUGUUGUUGUUGUUUUUCUUCUUUUCAGUAAAGUUUGGGGCUAUCCCUUACUUUCAGUGAUUUCAGCUUAAUUUACUGUUUAUAUGAAUUGUUUCCUUAGCGCUUAUCCUACCUUUCGUACUAAAUAGAAUUCUAAGUAGGUGUUUUAGGAAAUGUAAAUAAAAAUAUAAACAUAGAAUAAGUAAAAUGUGUUUGUAUAUAUAUAUCUAUAAUUUUCUAUAUAAAAUGUCCACUAGGCAAAAUUUACCUUGGGUGAGUAUGCUACAUACUAACAUACAACAUUAAUCUCUGCAUUCAAACUCCCACUACUCCUGGGCUGCAGCAAUGACUGACGUACACAUCAGCCCCCAUACAGACAAUAAAAACCAAAGGAAAAAGUUACUUGCACACCAUCCCAGAUCCCUUUGCAUAUUUAAAUAACUGGAGGUUUAGUAUCACUCCAAUGGCCAUUAAAUUGUAAGCUCAUUUGCCACGUUAAGGCAAACCUCAAAGAUUUCUCAUACACUGACUACAUAUAAAAAAAGAAGCAGCCCUGUGCUAAAACUCCCACUACUCCUGGGCGCCAGCAAUAACUAUAGCAUACAUCAGCCCCAAUACAUACAACUAAUGACUAACGAACAAGUAAUUAUGACAAGUUAUGCAUACAGGAACAGAAGGCGUAGAGGGCCAUGCUCAAAUUCUAGCGGAGCGUGAUAAAAUGUCACAAG